AACGAACGCUGGCGGCGUGGAUAAGACAUGCAAGUCGAGCGCUGAUUACAGGGUAGCAAUAUUCUGUAGUUGGAGCGGCGCAAGGGUGCGUAACACGUGGGUAAUCUGCCAUGAAGUUUGGAAUAACUCGCUGAAAGGCGAGCUAAUGCCGGAUGUGAAAGCUGGGAGGCAUCUCUUGGUUUUCAAAGCUGGGGACCGUAAGGCCUGGCGCUUCAUGAUGAGCCCGCGGCCUAUCAGCUAGUUGGUAAGGUAACGGCUUACCAAGGCUAAGACGGGUAGCUGGUCUGAGAGGACGACCAGCCACACUGGAACUGAGACACGGUCCAGACACCUACGGGUGGCAGCAGUCGAGAAUUUUUCACAAUGGGCGCAAGCCUAAUGGAGCGACGCCGCGUGGGGGAUGAAUGGCUUCGGCCCGUAAACCCCUGUCAUUUGCGAUCAAACGUUAUUGUUUAAGAGAUGAUAACCUGAUAGUAGCGAAAGAGGAAGGGACGGCUAACUCUGUGCCAGCAGCCGCGGUAAUACAGAGGUCCCAAGCGUUGUUCGGAUUCACUGGGCGUAAAGGG
rnacentral:rRNA from 1 species